rnacentral:misc_RNA from 1 species
UCUCCGUUGGUGAACCAGCGGAGGGAUCAUUAAAAGAGUUGAAAGACUCCCAAAACCCAUUGCGAAUAUACCUGUAUCGUUGCUUCGGCGGGCGGCCCCAGGGCGGGGCCUGCGCCCCGACCUCUUCGGAGCGAGGUGCCCGCCGACGGCCCUUAUAAACUCUUGUUAUCUGUAGGCAUUCUGAGCGACGAAGAUGGAAACGAGUUAAAACUCUCAACGACGGAUCUCUUGGCUCUG